rnacentral:misc_RNA from 1 species
AGGAAUCAUUCAACCGAAGAAGAAGGGGGCCCCGCGCUCCGGGGGGUUUCGGCCCCCGACUCUUCACCCGUUGUCUACCUACCUUCGUUGCUUUGGCGGACCGCUGGCCGCGUGCCGCGCCCGGCGCUGCGCCGGCGAGCGUCCGUCAGAGUCCCAUUCAAAUACUUUUAUUCGGUGACGUCUGAGUGAAAACACAAAUAACAUAAAACUUUCAACAACGGAUCUCUUGGUUCCAGCAUCGAUGAAGAACGCAGCGAAAUGCGAUAAGUAAUGUGAAUUGCAGAAUUCAGUGAAUCAUCGAAUCUUUGAACGCACAUUGCGCCCCUCGGUAUUCCGGGGGGCAUGCCUGUUCGAGCGUCAUUGCACCCCUCAAGCGCAGCUUGGUAUUGGGCCCUCGCCCCCGCGGCGUGCCCGAAAAGCAGUGGCGGUCCGGUGCGACUUCAAGCGCAGUAGAUCUCAUUUCGCUUGGGAAGUCCGCCCCGCGGCCGGCCAGUCAACCCCGUAAUUUCAAUGAUUGACCUCGGAUCAGGUAGGGAUACCCGC